rnacentral:rRNA from 1 species
AACGAACGCUGGCGGCAGGCUUAACACAUGCAAGUCGAACGGAUCCUUCGGGAUUAGUGGCAGACGGGUGAGUACCGCGUGGGAACGUACCCUUUGCUACGGAAUAACUCAGGGAAACUUGAGCUAAUCCCGUAUGUGCCCUACGGGGGAAAGAUUUAUCGGCAAAGGAUCGGCCCGCGUUGGAUUAGCUAGUUGGUGGGGUAAUGGCCUACCAAGGCGACGAUCCAUAGCUGGUCUGAGAGGAUGAUCAGCCACACUGGGACUGAGACACGGCCCAGACUCCUACGGGAGGCAGCAGUGGGGAAUAUUGGACAAUGGGCGCAAGCCUGAUCCAGCCAUGCCGCGUGAGUGAUGAAGGUCUUAGGAUUGUAAAGCUCUUUCACCGGUGAAGAUAAUGACGGUAGCCGGAGAAGAAGCCCCGGCUAACUUCGUG